rnacentral:rRNA from 1 species
UACAGAGGGGCAAGCGUUGUUCGGAAUUACUGGGCGUAAAGGGCUCGUAGGCGGCCAACUAAGUCAGACGUGAAAUCCCUCGGCUUAACCGGGGAACUGCGUCUGAUACUGGAUGGCUUGAGUUCGGGAGAGGGAUGCGGAAUUCCAGGUGUAGCGGUGAAAUGCGUAGAUAUCUGGAGGAACACCGGUGGCGAAGGCGGCAUCCUGGACCGAUACUGACGCUGAGGAGCGAAAGCCAGGGGAGCAAACGGG